CCUACGGGUGGCAGCAGUGAGGAAUAUUGGUCAAUGGGCGCGAGCCUGAACCAGCCAAGUCGCGUGAGGGAAGACGGUCCUAUGGAUUGUAAACCUCUUUUGUCGGGGAGCAAAAGACGCCACGCGUGGCGUUCCGCGAGUACCCGACGAACAAGCAUCGGCUAACUCCGUGCCAGCAGCCGCGGUAAUCCGGAGGAUGCGAGCGUUAUCCGGAUUUAUUGGGUUUAAAGGGUGCGCAGGCGGAAGAUCAAGUCAGCGGUAAAAUUGAGAGGCUCAACCUCUUCGAGCCGUUGAAACUGGUUGUCUUGAGUGAGUGAGAAGUAUGCGGAAUGCGUGGUGUAGCGGUGAAAUGCAUAGAGAUCACGCAGAACUCCGAUUGCGAAGGCAGCAUACCGGCGCUCAACUGACGCUCAUGCACGAAAGUGUGGGUAUCGAACAGGAUUAGAUACCCGGGUAGUC
rnacentral:rRNA from 1 species